UACGGGGGGAGCAAGCGUUGUUCGGAUUUACUGGGCGUAAAGGGCGCGUAGGCGGCCACCGCAAGUCGACUGUGAAAUCUCCGGGCUUAACCCGGAAAGGUCAGCCGAUACUGCGGGGCUAGAGUGCAGAAGGGGCAACUGGAAUUCUCGGUGUAGCGGUGAAAUGCGUAGAGAUGUGGAGGAACACCGAUGGCGAAGGCAGCCCCCUGGGUCAACACUGACGCUCAUGCACGAAAGCGUGGGGAGCAAACAGG
rnacentral:rRNA from 1 species